AGUCUAAUUGCUCUAUUUUGGCCUAGUUUUGAUAUAAAAAUGAGUUUUGAUUUGAUCCACUCUCUCUCUAUAUAUAUACCUUUUGUAUUUGAUGCAUAGUAUUAUUCACGUCUAAGUAAUACUAGUAAUUAACACCGCUUGAACAUUCAUGAAGUUGAUUCUCUAAUUUUCUUUAUAAUAGUGACUGUUAUUCUUUUUUCCCUACAUCAUUUCACAUUUUAUCGUAAGCUGCCUGCAUGUUUGCCAUUUAGGAUUUCAUGUGAGAAUCUGCAGUUACAUGGUGGUGGUGGUGCAAAUACUUUAUCCCCUUAAUUGUAGCUUAGAUCCGCUAGAUUGGUGGAGAGAGUAUUUGAUACUGCUCGCCCAUGGAAGGUGUAUACCCGGCGUGAUCGCAAAGACAAGGAUUGAGGAAAAUCCUGAUUAUCUUUUUAUUAUUGUUAUCUUUGAUUGCUUGAUUAGGAUUUGAUUGGGGGAUUAGUCAAUGAUUGGGAUUUGAUUGGUUGAUCAGUCAAUAAUUAUGAUUUGAUUAAUUGAUUAGUCAAUGAUUGGGAUUUGAUUGGCUGAGAUUUUGAUUUGCUAGACCCUAUAUAAGAGAGGGCAGAGAAUAGAAGGAGGCAUCUCUGGGAAAUCAUUGUAAACGGUGUAGCCGUGGCCUCAAGGAAGAGUAUCAUUGUUUACUGAUUUCUUUAAUUUAUCCUAUUCUCAUUCCACUAACUACUCUUACCCUUCGUUUGCCUUCCAUCAUCAAAUAAAUUGUGUGUGUGAAAGUUUUGCUGCCUUUACUCCAGAACAAUUUGGUGCGGUGAACAAUUGUCGAGACUCGCUCAUCAUCAGACGACACACUUGCUCGUGUCGCUGGUUUGGAGAAGGCAGUAGCAGCCUUGGAUUCCUCUCUUGAUGCACGUAUUGCCCGUUGCCCUGAGACUCAACUGGGUCCCAUUUUGCUCGAACUUAGAGGCACUCAGCCGGAGAAUCCUCCUCUACCUCUCCCUCCACCUCCGCCAAGUGACCAAUCCUCAACCAUCCAUGUCACUUCCUUCGUUCGAUGGAACCGAUGCAAUUGGGUGGCUCACCCGCGCUAGCCAGUACUUUAUGGUGAACAAAACUCCCACUGCCAAACGUUUGGACCUCGCGCUCAUUGCCUUGUCAUGCCCAGCUCUCCCUUGGGUCCAAAUCCUAAUGCGUCGCUAUCCGUCUCUCUCUUGGGAUCAAUUUGGCCACGAGCUACUUGUCCGUUUUGGGGACAAUAAUGCCCGUGAUGGGUAUGAGGCUUUAGCAACAACUAAACAUGUUGGCUCUCUUUCCGACUAUAUUGCCGCUUUCGAGUCACAUCUAGCACAACUGCCCGACCUCACCGAUUGUCAGUUUUUGGGGAUUUUUCUGUUCAGAUGGCGAAACGAUAUGAGAAUUUAUAUGCUCCUAUGGGUCCCACGACAACUCAUCGAGCAAUUUCUCAGUUGGCCGUUCUUCCUAUCACUCAUAUUUGAGUCCGGUUCAGACUGCCUCGAGGGAUUCUUCUAUCCCCAUUACAUCCCCUCUGCCAAGGGGCCUGCGGCCGCCCCAUCGUUUUCGCACCAUGCCACAAGAGGAAUAUCAGAAACAUCUUGCAGCUGGUACAUGUUUUCGAUGUGGACUCAAGUACAGCCCUACCCACCGUUGUCCACCCAAAACUUUGCAGGUCAUCAUCACACACGAAUGACGACGGCCAGAAUGACAACAAUGAAGAGGGUGCUCUUCCCUCUGGCAACGGGUCAUUGCUUCAUUUACAGUUAUCUGAACUAUCCUCUAAUGGUUUAGAUAGUUGCCACGCCAUGAAGUUAUCCGGAAGCAUUAACACAUCCAACGUCACAGUAAUGGUAGAUAGUGGCGCUAGUGAUUGCUUUAUCACCGACCAUGUGGCUGCCCGACUUGGUCUUGUCAUCUCAUCCACUGCUAUUUUUUCUGUUCGUUUGGGUGAUGGGACUAAAGUGCGCAGCGGUGGGAUUUGUCACGAUGUCCAGCUGUUAUUGGCUUUAGAGCCAUUUCUACUAUCUUAUGUCUUUCCUCUACGAGGGGUGGAUAUCAUAUUGGGAAUUUCUUGGUUGGCUUCACUCGGGGGGACGUCAAGGCCAACUGGCGGGAUUUAACUAUGGAGUUUACAUUGUCAGGCCGCUUAGUACACCUACAGGGUGAUCCUACUCUCACUCGUCGGGCUUGCACGCCAUCUGAGAUCCGUUCCAUUGAAGCAACAGAUGACUUUUGGCUUCUUUGGUCCCUUGAUGCAGAUCAGACCACAACAGCUUUUGGGUUUGCUGAAACCCUUCCAGUCGCCUCUAAGCAUCAACUCCAGGUCCUCAUCGAAGCUUUUCCGGCAGUCACUACAGCUGCUGCCUCACUUCCUCCUCACCGGCCCAUUGAUCAUUGCAUACCCUUACAAUCAGACUCUCAACCAGUCUCCGUCCGGCCCUAUCGAUAUAAUAAUGCCUAGAAGGAUGAAAUGGAAAAAUUGGUGUCCGAGAUGCUCACUGCCGGAAUCAUACAACCAAGCACUAGCCCGUUCUCGAGUCCUGUCCUCUUAGUUCGCAAGAAAGGUGGUUCAUGGCGAUUUUGUUGUGAUUAUCGUGAACUCAACAAGCGAACGGUGCCUGACAAAUAUCCAAUUCCAGUUAUCCAGGAGCUUUUGGACGAGUUACAUGGUUCACGAUGGUUUCAAUAAACUUGACCUUCGCGCUGGAUAUCAUCAAAUCAGAGUGGCUUGCUCUGAUGUUGCCAAGACUGCUUUCCGCACUCACUCGGGCCACUACGAAUUUCUAGUAAUGCCAUUUGGUUUAAUGAAUGCCCCUGCCACAUUUCAGAGCCUAAUGAAUGAUAUCUUUCGACCUUUCCUGCGACGAUUUGUUUUGGUUUUCUUUGAUGAUAUUUUGGUCUAUAGUCACUCGUGGGACGCCCAUAUUGAACAUCUCCAAUGUAUUCUCGGGUGAGAGCAGGUUGAAUACCUCGGUCAUAUUGUUUCCUUUCAAGGAGUACAAAUGGAUCCAACAAAGAUUUCAGCAGUUCUUCGUUGGCCAACCCCCUCGACGAUGCGUGGUGUUCGUGGAUUCCUCGGCCUUACGGGGUACUAUCGCCGUUUUAUUCGUGACUACGGAAAAAUCGCUGCUCCCCUCACAGCUUUUUAAAAAAAUCUAACACUAAGAAAAUCCAAUGGACUUCCGCCGCUGAAGAAGCGUUUCAGGCCCUCAAAAAUGCCCUCACCGCUGCCCCAGCCCCAGUGCUCCGUAUGCCUGAUUUCUCUCAGGAUUUUGUGAUAGAGUGUGAUGCUUCAGGCCGUGGCUUUGGCACUGUCCUUAUGCAUGACCAAUAGCCCGUUGCUUAUUUCAGUAAAGCCAUAUCUGCUUGUUGGCUAGCCUAAUCGGCCUAUGAAAGAGAACUAAUGGACCUCGUCCUUGCUAUUCAACAUUGGCGACCUUACCUCCUUGGUCAUCGGUUCGUGGUUCGCACUGAUCAGCGGAGUCUUCGCCACUCACUUACUCAGCCAUUGACCACUCCGGCCCAAAAGAAUUGGGCAGCUAAACUUCUAGGUUUUGACUUCAGUGUGGUCUACAAAGGAGCGUUAAACCAGGCAGCAGAUGCCUUGUCACGCCAAGAGGAAGACAUAAUAUGUGCCGCUAUCUCGACACCAAUCUGGCUCGACUGGUCAGCUGUGCAGAGUUCAAUCGACCAGGACGCCCAUCUCUCGGCAGUCCGUUCUGCGCUUAGGGAAGGCAAGCCUUCAUCCAAACAGUACACCUUAACUCACGACCUAUUGUUCUAUAAGGGGCGUCUGGUUGUUCCACCACAUUCUGAGUGGAUUCCCAAAUUAAUAGCAGAAUUUCACAUCACCACAAGUGGUGGCCAUGCAGGGGCUUAUCGUUCAUAUCGCUGACUUGCUGCUAACGUCUACUGGCCAGCAAUGGUCAAGCACUUUUCUCAAUUUGUUGCAGCUUGUGCAAUGUGCCAGAAGCAUAAAUAUGACACCCAUGCUCCAGCUGGUCUACUUACACCUUUGCCAAUUCCCUUGCGUGUAUGGGAGGAUAUUAGUAUGGACUUCAUCACGGGAUUGCUGAGGGCUGGGGGCGUAGACUGUGUGCUGGUGGUUGUUGAUCGAUUUUUGAAGUAUGCACAUUUUCUGCCACUUCGCCAUCCCUUCACAGCUCGUCAAGUGGCUGAAAUCUUCACUCCAGAAAUUGUGCGAUUACACGGCCUGCUUGGCUCUAUUGUUUCAGAUCGGGACCCCAUCUUCCUCAGCACUUUCUAGCAAGAAUUAUUCGAUCAGCAGGUACUUCUUUACGUAUGAGCUCCGCCUAGCAUCCAGAAACCGACGGUCAAACUGAAGUGCUCAACCAUUUUUUGGAAACGUAUCUGCGUUGUUUUUCAUCCGAGCAACCAAAAUAAUGGAGUAAAUGGCUCGCAUGGGCUAAGUACUGUUACAACUCAACCUAUCAGACGGCAGCUCAUACCACCCCAGUUGACAUAGUGUAUGGACGUCCACCUCCCACCAUUACGAGCUUCCUGCCACGGGAAGUCAGAGUCCAGGCAGUUGCCGAGGAUUUACGUGCCCGCGAUGAUAUAUUGGUCCACCUGCGCUACCAUCUUGAGAGGGCCCAACAAAAGAUGGUUCGAGCUGCCAAUCGUCACCACCGUCAUGAAGAAUUCGCUGUGGAUGACUUGGUAUAUCUCAAGUUCUGACCCUACCGCCAGUCCACAUUGUUUCAUUCCAAGAAUCGUUAGCGCCACGCUAUUUUGGGCCUUUUAAGGUUGUUGCACGGGUGAGGGUAGUCGCCUAUCGUCUCUAGUUGCCCCCCGAGUCUCGCAUCCACCCGGUCUUUCACGUUUCUCUUCUGAAGCGGGCUAUUGGUGCUACGACUGCCGAACCUUCUCUGCCUGAGGACCUUCUGCGUGUGGAUCCACCUUACUUACCUGAGCAGGUCUUGGACCGACGCUCCAUUGAGCGCGAUAAUGCAUCUGUUGAUCAGGUGCUUGUGCUCUGGGCCGGUAUGCCGAAGGAAGAUGCGACGAGGGUUGAUGUCGUAGAUAUGCAAGGUCAGUUUCCCUUCUUCAGCCUUACGGACAAGGCUGUUUCCACGGAGGAGGCUAUUGAUAUCGCUCGCCCAUGGAAGUUGUAUACCCAGCUUGAUCGCAAAGACAAGGAUUGAGGAAAAUCCUGAUUAUCUUAUUAUUAUUGUUAUCUUUGAUUGCUUGAUUAGGAUUUGAUUGGGGGAUUAGUCAAUGAUUGGGAUUUGAUUGAUUAAUCAGUCAAUAAUUAUGAUUUGAUUUAUUGAUUAGUCAAUGAUUGGGAUUUGAUUGGCUGAGAUUUUGAUUUGCUAGACCCUAUAUAAGAGAGAGCAGAGAAUAGAAGGAGGUAUCUCUGGGAAAUCAUUGUAAACGGUGUAGCCGUGGCCUCAAGGAGGAGUAUCAUUGUUUACUGAUUUCUUUAAUUUAUCCUAUUCCCAUUCCACUAACUACUCUUACCCUUCGUUUGCCUUCCAUCAUCAAAUAAUUUGUGUGUGAAAGUUUUGCUGCCUUUACUCCGUAACAGUAUUUAAUAGUAUUCUCUCUGUCCACGAAGAGUGUGGUGUGGAGGGGAGGGCAUGAGUUUUAAGAAAAAUAUUUGGGGAUGAGUCCCACAAGGAGUAUUGUGUGUAGAAUAAGUAUUGGUUAUUGGUUUUUUGGCCCACAAAAAGUAAAAGUUAGUGGUGUUUUUUUUUUGGUAAAUAUUGUGUCAUUGUGUGUGAAAGGAUGUAAAAAAUAUAAGGGGCUGUGUUCUAAAAUAGAAACACCAUAUUCUUGGUGGUCAGACUAAAAUGGUAAUAAGACCACACUUUUUGUGGAUGUUGGGAGUACUGUUCACAUUAAUUAAUCUCUGGCGAAGGGCUUAUAUACUUGUCAUGCUUUCUGUUGACAGAUUUUCAGGACACAUGGGCUUUCUUGGAUGAACGAGUUAGAGAUGCAUUUGAUCUGAAAAAGACACUUCAAGAGAUUUGGAGCAACACUGCACUCCACGCCGGCGAUCUUCAAAACAGUUGAUUCCUCCGUUGAACGGCGAGUGCACAGAGUACAUCUGCGUGGAGCCGAGUACCACCCAACACCCGAAGUUCACAUACAUAAAAUUGGAGUGGUACUUCGUUGUAUAGAACUUUUUUUCCUAAAUUCUCCCCGAGUGAUGGCCCGAUUGUUUCGUUUACACCUGAGCGUUCCCGAUAUGGUGGAAGACAUACUUAACUUGUUGCGUAUUUAAUCGAUUCUCAUCCUGUACAUAUACUUGAAAAGAAGAGCACGCUUACGUCGUCGUGUUACGCACCAUGGGGUUAGGUAUUCUCUAAUAGGCCGGGCACCUCGUCAACUAAUGCAUAUGAACAGGCUCGUAUCAAUUAGUGAUGUUGACUGCUUUUCCAACCUACGCAUGGAUAGGAAUGCAUUUGGUCGUUUGUGCAUACUGCUUAAAGAACAAGGUGGUCUACGGGAUGGUCAAUUUGUGUUAAUAGAGGAGCAAGUAGCUAUUUUUUAAGCAUUCUAGCCCACCAUAAGAAAAACCGUAUAACUAGUUUUGAUUUUAAACGCUCUGGUGAAACCAUAUCGCACUAUGUGCAUGCCGUGCUUAAAGCUGUACUCAGACUCCAUACUAUUCUCCUGCCUAAGCCUGAACCAGUAACCAAUAGUUUUGUAGACCCGUGUUGGAAACACUUUAAGGGUUGUAUUGGCGCCUUGGACGGGACCUAUAUAAAUGUAUUAGUCAGGAGCAUGGAUAAGCCACGAUAUCGGACAAGGAAGGGCCAAAUCGCGACCAAUACACUUGCUGCCUGUGAUCGCAACAUGAAAUUCUUAUAUUUUCUACCAGGGUGGGAGGGGUCUGCCGGGGACUCUCGAGUGCUUAGGGACGCUGUUACUAGAGGGGGGGGGGCUGCGUGUAACCAAAGGUUUAAUUGAUAUGAUCCUUGAUUAAAAUUUCAUAUUGUCCACUUUCAUUCUAAAUUUUUUGUAAAACUUAUGAGCAAUCCCUCCGUUGCAACAUUUGUGGUUUUAGGAACUUACUUUUUGUGUGAUAAUGGCUACGCAAAUUCCGAAGGAUUCUUGACUCCAUACAAAAACGUGAGGUAUCACUUGAAGGAGUGAGGUGUUGGCAGUGAGAGACCUCAAAAUGCAAGAGAAUUGUUCAACCUCCGGAACACCAGAGCUCGUAACAUUAUCGAGCUGGCUUUUGCCGUGCUGAAGAUGAGAUGGGGGAUAUUAAGGAGUGCUAGUUUCUACCCGAUUAAAAUCCAAAUCCGUAUAAUCAUGGCUUGUCCUACUACACAAUUUCAUACGUGGUGAAAUGCUCAACGAUCCAAUUGAACAGCAUGUUGAUGCUGCUAUUCAAGAUCUGGAUGCCGAGGAUGGUGUUCCCAUCCCUGAUUUUGUGGAUCAAGUAGAGCCAUCUACAGAGUGGAAUCAAAUGCGGGAUGAGUUGGCUAAUACCAUGUGGAACAAUGUGCACAAUGUCGACGGUAACUGAAGAAAUGGAUAUGAUACCAUACUGUCAAUGCGGAGGAGGGAAGAUGAUUUUGUUAUGCGCCGGGAAAGAAGCUGUACAUGUUGGACGCUGGUACUACAAAUGUCCGUCCAAUACAAAGCAUUCAUGGUCUUUUUUAUGGUGCGAUGACUACCAUAGUCGGCACGGAAAUGGGGAACAGCCUACUUACGUGCUGACUCAGCUUUAUCGUCCUACGAAACAAGUGUCUUGUGCAGAUAAUACAAAAAACAAAAAACUGCCUUACACCGGUAGUGUUUGUGGAAUUUGUGGUCGCUGUCGUGCUGAUUUUCGAAUGAAUUACUUGUUGGUCGUGAUGGGAUUUGUUUUAUUGUUGCUCGGAAUUGUGAUAGGGAAGCUGUUCUAGUUUGUUAGAUUUCGAAUUUGCUGAAUGAGACUCCAUGUUUUAUUUGUCGCUUUAUACUACUAUUUUGACUAUGCAUAUGUAAUGACAUUUGGCUAUCUUUCGAGUUGAUCUUCAUGUUUUUGUUUGCAAA